rnacentral:rRNA from 1 species
AGCUAUGUGGUUUAAUUCGACGCAACGCGAAGAACCUUACCAGGGCUUGACAUCCCCUGACCGCGUAUGAAAGUACGUUUUCACCCUCGGGUGACAGGGAGACAGGUGGUGCAUGGUUGUCGUCAGCUCGUGUCGUGAGAUGUUGGGUUAAGUCCCGCAACGAGCGCAACCCCUACGUUUAGUUGCUAACGCGUGAAGGCGAGCACUCUAGACGAACUGCCGUUGACAAAACGGAGGAAGGUGGGGAUGACGUCAAAUCAUCAUGCCCCUUAUGUUCUGGGCUACACACGUGCUACAAUGGCCGGUACAGACGGACGCAAAGCCGCGAGGUGGAGCAAAUCCUAAAAAGCCGGUCUCAGUUCGGAUUGCAGGCUGCAAUUCGCCUGCAUGAAGUCGGAAUCGCUAGUAAUCGCAGGUCAGCAUACUGCGGUCGAAUACGUUCCCGGGCCUU